GUCACUGUCGUACGGGUGCGUAACGCGUAUGCAACCUACCUAUCACUGGGGGAUAGCCCGGGGAAACCCGGAUUAAUACCGCAUAAAACAGGGGCACCGCAUGGUGAUAUUUGUUAAAGAUUUAUUGGUGAUAGAUGGGCAUGCGUUCGAUUAGCUAGUUGGCGGGGUAACGGCCCACCAAGGCGACGAUCGAUAGGGGAGCUGAGAGGUUGAUCCCCCACACGGGCACUGAGAUACGGGCCCGACUCCUACGGGAGGCAGCAGUAGGGAAUAUUGGGCAAUGGAUGCAAGUCUGACCCAGCCAUGCCGCGUGCCGGAUGAAGGCCCUCAGGGUUGUAAACGGCUUUUAUUCGGGAAGAAGAGCAGGGAUGCGUCCUUGUGUGACGGUACCGAAUGAAUAAGCACCGGCUAACUCCGUGCCAGCAGCCGCGGUAAUACGGAGGGUGCGAGCGUUGUCCGGAUUUAUUGGGUUUAAAGGGUGCGUAGGUGGCCUGUUAAGUCAGUGGUGAAAUACGGUUGCUCAACAAUCGAGGUGCCAUUGAUACUGACCGGCUUGAAAUAAUUGGAGGCUGCCGGAAUGGAUGGUGUAGCGGUGAAAUGCAUAGAUAUCAUCCAGAACACCGAUUGCGAAGGCAGGUGGCUACGAUUGGUUUGACACUGAGGCACGAAAGCAUGGGGAGCAAACAGGAUUAGAUACCCUGGUAGUCCAUGCUGUAAACGAUGAGGACUCGUUGUUUGGCUGCAAAGCUGAGCGACUUA
rnacentral:rRNA from 1 species